CAAUAGCGUAUAUUUAAGUUGUUGCAGUUAAAAAGCUCGUAGUUGGAUUUCGGGUGGGACGCAGCGGUCUCGCAUUGCGUUUGUACUGCUGCAGCCCUCCUUCUUGCCGGGGGCGGCCUCUCGGACUUCACUGUCUGGGGGUCAGAAUCGGCGAUGUUACUUUGAGUAAAUUAGAGUGUUCAAAGCAAGCUUACGCUCUGAAUAUAAUAGCAUGGGAUAACACGACAGGACUCUGGCCUAUCGUGUUGGUCUAUAGGACCAGAGUAAUGAUUAAGAGGGACAGUCGGGGGCAUUCGUAUUCCGUUGUCAGAGGUGAAAUUCUUGGAUUUAUUAAAGACUAACAUCUGCGAAAGCAUUUGCCAAGGAUGUUUUCAUUAA
rnacentral:rRNA from 1 species